UGUUGGACAGCCAGGUCUCUCCAGGGCCCUGGCAAUUGAACUAUUGGACAAAGUAAACAAUCCAGACAAUCAUGCACAUUACACCGAAGGAGACGAUGAUGAUUUUGAGGUAAGAAAAUGUUUGUAACCUAAUAUUUGAAAAUAAAUGUUUAACAUGGCUUUAGAGUUUACUUUCUGAUUCACUCUCUCAAUUUAGUUAAAAUAGUUUAGCAACAAAAGUUAAUUAAUUAUAUGAACUAUGCUUACUCUACAUGUAGUUGUCAGUUCUUGCUUUUUUAAAAAAUUGUGCUUUAAUAUACAUAACAUAACUUGUCAAUAUUUUUCUUAAUCCUAGUUCUUGCUAGGAUUAGUUCUUUUUUCCUUUUUCAGCACAUAUGGUUUAUACAUGUAUUUUAAUAUCAUACUAUACCCAUAAAAAUAUAAUUAUUAGGGCUGGGUCUGUAGCUCAGUGGUAGAGUGCUUGCCUAGCACAUGUGAGGCACUGGAUUCCAUCUUCAGUACCAUAUAAAAAUAAAUAAAUAAAAUAAAGGCAUGUUGUUCAUCUACAACUACAAAAAAUUUAAAUAUAUAUAUAUAAUUAUAUAUAUAUAUAUAAUUAUUGCUAAUAGACAAAUUUUUAAACAUUUUAAGAUAUGGAAAUGUUUACUACUCUGAUUUGAUUAUUACACACUGUAUAUAUGUAUCAAAUUAUUACACUAUAACCCAUAAAUUUGAACAAUUAAAAUAAUCAAAAAUAAAAAUUUUUAAAUCUCUAAGCCAUUAACCUUUUAUUGUCUACUUUACAUCUACACUACAGUAUGGUUAUUUCUUCUUAAUAUGAUCUCCUUUCUAGUUUGGUGCCUUUAAUUUUUAAGAGGUUAACUCAGUUUAAAGUCAGAUAUGCCCCCCCCACAUCCCAGAAAUGAAGAGGUGCUUUCUCUCCUCACUAGAUCUUAGUUUCUGUAUGAGAGUUUGAUCUUCUUAUAGGCCAUAUAUUGACAUUAUCAGUUUCCUAGGAAAUAAAGUUUUCAAGAACAUUACUUUGGGGGCUGAGGUUGUGGUUCAGCGGUAGAGCGCUCGCCUAGCACGGGCGCUACCUGGGUUCGAUUCUCAGCACCACAUAAAAAUAAAAAAAGGCAUUGUGUUGUGUCCAUCUACAAAAAAAAAAAAAAAAGAUUCUCUCUCUCUCUCUCUCUCUCUCUCUCUCUCUUAAAAAACAAAACAAAAAAAAUUACUUUGGACAAAAAGAAAAAAUUUAUCCGUAGCAUAUGUAUAUAUGAUUUUUCAUAAAAGAGAUUCCUUAGAAAUCCAUUUGGUCAUUUUUGAAGUUUCUCUAUUUAAUGCUUAUCAUUAACAGAAUGUAAAUCAUUUUUAAAAAGUAAAUUGAAAUUCUCAUUGGAAAAUUUAUCAUUUCCAAUACUUUUUCAGAAGUAUCACUUCUUGCCAGGCAUGGUGGUGCAUGCCUGAAAUCCCAGCAGCUCGAGAGGCUGAGACAGAGUUCAAAGCCAGCCUCAGGAAUGCCAAGGUGCUAAGCCAACUCAGUGAGACCCUAUCUCUAAGUAAAAUACAAAAAAUAGGGCUGGGGAAUGUGGCUGGUCGAAUGCCCCUAAGUUCAAUCCCUGGUACAAAAAAAAAAAAAAUCUUAUGUAAUUACGGGCAGGACUAUCCAUAAAUAUGCUUACCUUCUAUGAAAAUAGUAAAGUUAUUUUGAAUGUACUAUAUGUAACCACAACUUGUAAAUCAGGAUGAGGGACUUACUGCUCAUUGACAGAUACCUCUUUAUGACUAUAUAUAACACAAGUAUUUUUUGCACCAGGGUCUCUCUUUAUGUGUUCUCCUCCUUUUAUAAUUUGUUUGUUUCUGUGUAUCUCUGAAUCAGUCUAUUUAUUUCUCUUUAUGCCUUUAUUUCCCUUUUAUCUCUACCUUUAGUUUUGGCUAAAAUCCAUAACUAAAGCUUGCAUGUUAAUUGAUUCAUUUUUAUUAAAGAGAAUUUUCUACUUUAUGUUCUUAAGUUUUAAAUUAUACUUUAUAAAUAUCAUUACUAAGAUUCACUUGGUACUCAUUGUGUGCCAAAUAUUAGGACAAAUAAUUUCCAUAUUAACUUUUCUAAUUACUCAAAAUUGUCCAUAGUAGUAGGUACAGUUAUUAAUGUUCUCAUUUGUAAAAUAAGGGACUAAGACGUAAUUUGCCCAAGAUCAUAUAGCUUAAUAAGUAGUGGAACCAGGAUUUAAAUCCAGGUGAACUACUUCUACAGCCUCCUCUCUUAUUUAAUUUUUAGUGUGCACCAUCAUUUCUAUGUAAGUGCUUAAUAGAAAUAGUCAUUAGACAUCUUAGUUUCUGUAUUGCCUAGUAUGUGAUAUAGUCCUGUCUACCUAAAGAAUACUUUGUUGAAUGUUAAAUUGACUUUAAUUGAAAACAGUAAAUAAACUAGCCAUACAUGGAUUUCCAUACCCCCCACCCCCUCAUUUGAGCUAUCAUUUGCAGACUUGGAAUUAGUAAAUAAGAAUUUAAUUUCUUGGGGCUGGGAUUGUGGCUCAGUGGUAGAGCGCUUACCUAACAUGUGCGGGGCCCUGUGUUCGAGCCUCAGCACCACAUAAAAAUAAAUGAAUGGAAUAAAGGUAUUAUGUCCAACUACAGCUAAAAAUAAAUAAAUAAAUAUUUUUUAAAAGAAUUUAAUUUCUUAAAGAUUCAAAAAGUAUUAAAAUUUAUAGCAUCAGUGUGAAUUAGAUACUCCUUGAUUCCCCAAUUCAUCUCUCACUGAUAAUUUUAAUAUGCAACUCUUUUUACUUUCAUACCUCUUUGCUGGGCUUCCCAGAUUCCCCCUACUUUCAGAAUUCUCACUGUCUCUUUAAUGAUAUUAUCACUCUUUAUAGUUCUUCAGAUACAAAGCCUUCUACCAAUUAGUUGGUGGUACAGUGGUUUAUGAGACUAACACUAUCCCUCUCUUCAUGGUGUAGCUGCAGAGGAAAUUCAGAAAUACCAACACAUAAUGUCAAUGUGUGAUAAUCUUUAUGGAAUGGAAAUAUAGGGUAUUAUGAAGGCAUAUAAAAGUGAUAUUUUUGCUGAAAAUCUGAAGGAUAAAUUGGAAUUAGUUGAAGAGAGUAAGAGUAAAUAUGCUAAGCAGAGGAAACAAUAUCAUAUUUGAAAGCCUGGUGAUAAGAGAGAAAUGGAUUUAUUAAGGAACUAAAGUAUGUCUGGGUAGAGCAGAAAAUAAGGAAGGAAAUGAUGGAAACAAGUUACAAAGCUAGACACUGGUUAUCUCAAACCAUGUUAAAAUUUUAGAUUUUCACCUGAGGGCAGGUGUGUUUAAAAGAUCUCUAUGAAUUCAGAAUGGUGAUUCCAUUACUAAUCACUUGUUAAGAGACUGUGGAAGUUAUUCAGGAUAGAGAGAAUGAUAGUUUAAACUAUGGUGGUAGAGCAAUGAUGAAAAGAAGUGGAUUAAUUUAAGAAUUUUCUGAGAGCUAAGCAUGGUGGCAACUCAAGAGGCUGGAGUUCAAAGCCACAAGUUCAAGGCCAAUCUCAGCAUCUUAGCAAGACCCUCAGUGGGCUUAGCUGUAUCAAAAAAUAAAAAGGACUAGGAAUGUAGCUCAAUGGUAAAAUACCUCUGGGUUCAGUCCCCACUACUAAAAAAUAAAAGAAUUUUCUUGAGUUGGUGAUUCGAUGAAGAAUAAGAAAUGAGAAAAAAAUUACUACCAGAUUUUGACUUGAGUAGUUGGAUGGAUAUAAACACGUACUGAGGUAGGAACACUAGAGUAAAAUGAGGUUUGGAAAUAAAGAUGAGCUCAGUUUUACACAGAACAAGAUGUUGCACAGACUUUCAAAUAGAGAAGACCAGUAAAGAGUUAGAUUCAUGAUUGUAGCCUGGGGAACAAAGUUUCGACUACAGAUAUAGAUGUGAGAGUCAUUAGAUGUACAUAUAGUAGAUGCUUUAAGGAGUAAAUGUGAUCACCCAAGGGAACCAAAUUAGAAUGACAGUAGAAGAAAGCUUAGGAUAGAAUCCUCAGAUUUUUCCCAAACUUUGAGGAUCAAGUAGGCUAAAGAGAUUGAUAAGGAGACAGUAGGCCCCGGUCCAUCCUGCCACUGGAAGACACCCUCCGGAGCCCAGCCUCUGGCAUGGGACUACCCCUUUCAACCAGCAGACAACUGCAGGAGCUCAGGCCAGGACCAGAUCUGCCCUCACCGACUUGCCAGGACCCAGGUCCAGGAUGCACACUGCAAGAAAGGAAGACAUAUAGACAACAUGAAAAAACAAGGGAGGAAAGUGCCCCAAACAAACCAGGAUACUACAAUAACAGAACCCAGGGACAGUAGUUCAGAAGGUUCAUAAUUAAAAUGAUCUAUGAAUUAAAGAAUAACCUAAAUGAGCAAAUACAGGUAAAAAGUGAUCACUCCAACAAGAAGAUAAGAGCACAAAUACAGGUAGCAAAGGAUUAUUUCAAGAAAGAGAUAGAGACUCUGAAAAAAUGACAAUAAUCAGAAAUCCUUGAAAUGAAGGAUACAGUAAAUCAAAUAAAAAUCUCAAUAGAAAGCAUAACCAACAGACUAGAUCACUUAAAAGAAAGAACGUCAGAUAAUGAAGACAAAGUUUACAAUCUGGAAAUUAAAGUUGAUCACACAGUGAAGACAGUAAGAAACCACGAACAGAACAUCCAAGAAUUAUGGGACAGCAUCAAAAGACCAAAUCUAAGAGUUAUUGAGAUAGAGGAAGGCACAGAGUCUCAAACCAAGGAAAUGCACAAUCUCUUCAAUGAGAUAAUAUCAGAAAAUUUCCCAAGCAUGAAGAACAAAUUGGAAAACCAAAUAUAAGAGGCUUACAGGAAACCAAAUGUACAAAAUUACAACAGAUCUACACCAAGGCACAUUAUAAUGAAAUUGUCUAGUAUACACAAUAAGGAUAGAAUCUUAAAAGCCACAAGAGAGAGGAAUCAGAUCACAUAUAGGGGAAGACCAAUGUGUAUCAGCAGAUUUUUCAAGCCAGAUCCUCAAAGCCAGGAAAUCAUGGAACAGCAUAUACCAAGCUCUAAAAGAAAAUGGAUGCCAACCAAGAAUCUUCUAUCCAGCAAAACUAAGCCUUAGAUUUGAUGAUGAAGUAAAAACCUUCCACGAUAAACAAACAUUAAAGAAUUUACAGCUAGAAAGCCUGCAUUACAGAACAUUCUCAGCAAAAUAUUCCACAAAGAGGAUAUGAAAAACAAGGAUGAAAAUCAGCAGAAGGAGAUAUGACACUAAAGGAAAAUCAGAGGAGAAACCAAGUCACAUUAAUACCAAAAAUAAACAAAAGUGGCUGCCAAUACAUGUCUUAAUAAUAACCCUGAAUGUUAAUAGCCUAAACUCAUCAAUCAAAAGACAUAGACUAGCAGAUUGGAUAAAAAAAAAAAAAAGACCCAACAACAUGCUGCCUCCAAGAGACUCAUCCUAUAGGAAGGAAAAGACAUCCACAGACUGAAGGUGAAGAGUUAGAAAAAUCAUACCACUCACAUGGACUGCGGAAGCAAGCAGGGGUUUCCAUCCUCAUAUCAAAUAAAGUAGACUUCAAGCUAAAGUUAAUCAAAAGUGAUAAAGAAGGACACUAUAUACUGCUCAAGAGAACCAUACACCAACAAGACUCGACAAUUAUAUGUCCCAAACAGUGGAGCAUCUAUGUUUAUCAAACAAACUCUUCUCAAGUUCAAGAGUCAAAUAGAACACAACACAAUAAUUUUGGGUGACUUUAACACACCUCUUUCACCACUAGAUAGAUCUUCCCAAAAAAUCAAAGAAACUGUAGAACUUAAUGAUACAAUCAAUAAGUUAGACUUAACUGACAUAUAUAGAAUAUUUCAUCCUUAAAUAAGUGAGUACACUUUCUUUUCAGCAGCACGUGGAUCCUUCUCUAAAAUAGAUCAUAUAUUAUGCCACAAAGCAACUAUUAGCAAAAUAUAAAAAAGUACUACCCUGCAUUCUGUCAGAUCAUAAUGAAAUGAAGUUAUAAAUCAAUGAAAAUAAGAAAUAAAAACUACUCCAACACCUGGAGACUAAAUAAUAUGCUACUGAAUGAACAAUGGGUUGCAGAAGACAUCAAGGAGGAGAUUAAAAAAAAAUUUAGAAGUGAAUGAGAACACAGAUACAACAUAUCAAAAUCUCUGGGACACUAUGAAAGCAGUUCUAAGAGGAAAGUUCAUUGCAUGGAGUUCAUUCCUUAAAAGAAGAAAAACAAAAAUGGCUGCCAAUACAAGUCAUGUCUUAAUAAUAACCCUGAAUGUUAAUGCCUUAAACUCAUCAAUCAAAUGACAUAGACUAGCAGAAUAAUAAAUAAAUGACUUAAUCUUACAUUUCAAAGCCCUAGAAAAAGAACAACAAAUCUACAUCAAAAGCAGUAGAAGACAGGAAAUAAUUAAAAUCAGAGCUGAAAUGAAACUGAAACAAAAGAAAUGAUGGGAAAAAUUGACAGAACAAAAAAUUGGUUCUUUGAAAAAAUAAAUAAAAUUGACAGACCCUUAGCCAUGCUAAUGAAGAGAAGGACAGAGAAAACUCAAAUUACUACCAUCUGUGAUUAAAAAAGGAAAUAUCACAACAGACACUACAGAAAUACAGAAUAUAAUUAGAAAUUAUUUUGAAAAUUUGUACUCCAAUAAAAUAGAAAAUAUUGAAGGCAUCUACAAAUUUCUAGAGUCAUAUGAUUUGCCCAAAUGGAAUUAGGAUCAUAUACACAGUUUAAACAGAUCAAUUUCAAGCAGUGAAAUAGAAGACACCAUCAGAAGCCUACCACCCAAGAAAAGCCCAGGACCAGAUGGAUACACAGCCAAGUUCUACAAGACCUUUAAAGAAGAACUAAUACCAAUAUUCUUCAAUUUAUUUCAGGAAAUAGAAAAAGAGGCAGCACUUCCAAACUCAUUCUAUGAGGCCAACAUCACCCUGAUUCCAAAACCAGGCAAAGAUGCAUCAAAAAAAGAAAACUUCAGACCAAUAUCUCUAAUGAACAUAAAUGCAAAAAUUGUCAAUAAAAUUCUGGCAAAUCGGAUAUAAAAACGUAUCAAAAAUAUAGUGCACCACAAUCAAGUGGGAUUCAUCCCAGAGAUACAAGGGUAGUUCAGCAUAUGGAAAUCAAUAAAUGUAAUUCAUCACAUCAAUAGACUUAAAGAUAAGAAUCAUAUGAUAUCUCAGUAGAUGCAGAAAAAGCAUUUGACAUAAUACAGCACCUCUAAAUGUCCAAAACACUAGAAAAAUUAGGGAUAACAGGAAUAUAUCUCAACAUCAUAAAGGCUAUCUAUGCUAAGCCAACAUCAUUGUAAUGGAGAAAAAUUGAAGGCAUUCCCUCUAAAAACUGGAAGAAGACACAGAUGCCCUCUUUCACCAGUUCUGUUCAACAUAAUUCUUGAAACACUGGCCAGAGCAAUUAGAUAGAUGAAAGAAAUUCAAGGGAUACAGAUAGAAAAAGAAGAAAUCAAAUUAGCACUGUUUGCUUAUGAUAUGAUUCUAUACCUAGAAGACUCAAAAAAUUCUAUCAGCAAACUUAUAGAACUAGUAAAUGAAUUUACCAAAGUAGCAGGAUAUAAAACCAGCACCCAUAAAUCAAAGGCAUUUCUUUCUGUAUAUCAGUGACAAAUCCUCAGAAAGAGAAACGAGGAAAACUACCCCAUUUACAAUAGCUUCAAAAAAAAAUACUUGAGAAUCAACUAAAGAGGUGAAAGAUCUAUACAAUGAAAACUACAGAACUCUAAACAACGAAAUUAAAGAAGACCUUAGAAAAUGGAAAGAUCUGGCUUGCUCUUGGAUAGGCAGAAUUAAUAUUGUCAAAUAGACCAUACUACCAAAAACACUGUACAGGUUUAAUGCAAUUCUGAUCAAAAUCCCAAUGGCAUUUCUCAUAGAAAUAGAAAAAGCAGUCAUGAAAUUCGUCUGGAAAAAUUAGAGACCCAGAAUAGCCAAAGCAAUCCUUAGCAGGAGGAGUGAAGCAGGGUAGCAUCACUAUACCAGACCAUAAACUAUACUAUAGAGCAAUAGUAACAAAAACAGCAUGGUAUUGGCACCAAAACAGACUGGCACACCAAUGGUACAGAAUAGAGGACACAGAGACUAACCCACAAAAUUACAAUUAUCUUAUAUUAGGCAAAGGUGCCAAAAACAUGUAUUGGAGAAAAGAUAGCCUCUUCAACAAAUGGUGCCGGGUAAACUGGAAAUCCAUAUGCAACCAAAUGAAAUUAAACCCCUAUCUCUCACCAUGCACAAAACUCAAAAUGGGUCAAGGACCUAGGAAAAAACCAGAGACCCUGCAUCUAAUAGAAGAAAAAGUAGGCCCUAAUCUUCAUCAUGUGGGAUUAGGCCCCAACUUCCUUAAUAAGACUCCUUUGGUGCAAGAAUUAAAAUCAAGAAUCAAUAAAUGGGAUGGAUUCAAACUAAAAAGUUUCUUCUCAGCAAAAGAAACAAUUUGUGAAGUGAAUAGAGAGCCUGCAUCUUGAGAGCAAAUCUUUACCCCUCACACGUCAGAUAGAGCACUAAUCUCUAGGGUAUAUAAAGAACUCAAAAAGCUAAGCACCAAGAAAACAAAUAACCCAAUCAGUAAAUGGGCCAAGGCCCUGAACAGGCACUUCUCAGAAGAUGAUAUACAAUCAGUCAACAAAUAUAUGAAAAAAUGUUCAUCAUUGCUAGCAAUUAGAGAAAUGCAAAUCAAAACUACUCUAAGAUGUCAUCUCACUCCAGUCAGAAUGGCAGCUAUUAUGAAUACAAACAACAGUAAGUGUUGGUGAGGAUGUGGGGCAAAGUGUGCACUCCUACACUGCUGAUGGAACUACAAAUUGCUGCCGCCGAUAUGGAAAGCAGUAUGGAGAUUGCUUGGAAAACUGGGUAUGGAACCACCAUUUGACCCAAUCCCUCUCCUCAAUCUAUACCCAAAGGACUUAAAAACAGCAUACUACAGGGACACAGCCACAUCAAUGUUUAUUGCAGUACAAUUCACAAUAGCUAAACUAUGGAACCAACCCAGGUGCCCUUCAGUAGAUGCAUGGAUAAAAAAAAUGUGGCAUUUAUACACAAUGGAAUAUCACUCAGCUCUAAAAGAGAAUAAAAUCAUAGCAUUUGCAGGUAAAUGGAUGGAGUUGGAGGAGAUAAUGCUAAGUGAAGUUAGCCGAUCCCAAAACACCAAAUGCUGAAUGUUUUCUCUGAUAUAGGAGGCUGAUUCAUAGUGGGGUAAGGAGGGGGAACAUGGGAGGAAUAGAUGAACUCUAGAUAGGGCAGAGGGGUGGGAGGGGAAGCGAGGGGGCAUGGGGCUAGAAAUGAUGGUGGAAUGUGAUGGUCAUCAUUAUUCAAAGUACACGUAUGAAGACACGAAUAUACUUUGUUUACAACCAGAGAUAUGAAAAAAUGUGCUCUAUAUAUGUAAUAUGAAUUGUAAUGUAUUCCGCUGUCAUUUAUAAAUUUUAAAAAUUUAUAAAUUUUUUAAAAACAGAUUGAUAAGGAACACUGAAAGAAGGAGAGUUUCAAUGAUCAUGUGCCUAGAAGUUAGGUUAAGGUAGUCUUUGGGUUUAGAUGUAGUGUUUGAUCACUUUAACAGUAUAAUUUGCAAAUAAUGGAAGGUAUCUAGCUUGGAGAAUCUUGAAAGGUAAGUAUAGUAAUUUAUAAGGUUUAGGAAUGAGUGAAAUGAAGGAAUGAGUUAAAGCAGUAGCUGGAGGAUAAUGAGUUGGAGAGGGCUAGAUUUACUGAUCAGUUGUGUUGUGGGGGGCUUUUUGAACAUUAUUAAAUGCUUAUGAAAGAAUCUGAGAAAGAGUAAAGAUGCAACAAAAGCAAGAUGAAUAGUCAAAGCCUCCAGUAAGGAAGCAGAGGCUUGGAUCAAGAAUAUGAUGAAGGACUGAAUCUUAGAUAAGGAAACAUUUCUCUUGCCUUAGAGAGGUUGACUGGUAGUAUAACUAGUGAUUUCUAUUUUCUCUGAAGUAAGUGACAAGGAAAGUAUUAAGGAAAAUAGGUAGGUUUGAAGAGUGUAGAGAAGGUGUAAAAGUGUGACUGAGGAGAAUGGGUGGUGGGUUGGUUAAAUGACUAGACAAGUGUGUAUGGGCAAAGUUGAAGACUCAAAUAAGAUGGGUUUUUAGUGUUCUAUGAGAUUUUCCCCCAGCAGUGUUUGUGAUAUCCCAGAUGGAAACACAAAGAUCACUAGUAGAGUUCAUCCAGGGUUGGCCUUUUGCUCUGUCAUAUAUUGAAGACCAAAGGGAAUUUAGAAUAUUGUCAAGAGAUUGCUAGAAAUUUGGGAUUAUCAGAUAUAAACUGAAUAGGGAGACAAGUAAAGAUAGGCAAGAUGCUGAUAGAUAUUGAGAGAGUUGUGGAUCAAUGACCUUGAUAUUCCAGUGGGUACAUUAAACAAGUUUAAUGAGAGUAAGUUAGAGAGUAAGCUUAAAGGAUCAGAGAUUUCGAGUAUAUUGGCAAUUCAUGCAUCAGAACUCAUGCCAGGGCCCAGUUGUGAUGUCAGGAGUGAAGAGUGCAUUGAAGUACACAGGGAUGUUCAAUUCAGAACCAUGGAUUCACCUCAGCUUUUGAAAUCUCUUGGUUAGACUAUAGGUCUUCUUCGUCUUGAAGCAGAAUGGGAAAAAAAACCCAAAAAUAUACAAACCACUUUAAGAGCCAUGAAUGAAUAGGAAUGAGUUGUCAGAAAUUUGGUAGAUAGGGGUUGAGUUGUAGGCAUAGCUUCAAUGGAGCAACAGUUUAUGCAAGAAGAUAGAAGUAGUAAGUUUUUUAUUGGCCUUGCUACAAUAUUCCUAAUCUUGUAUCCAACGUUUCUCCCCUCCAUACUUUCUUACACACUUAUUGGAUUAUCCUUAAAGCUGAUUUUGAUGAUGCCACUCCCUUCUGUAAAAUCUUUUUAAAAAAUCCUUUUGCUAAGAAAAUAAGGUUGAGAGCCCUCACCUGUCAUUCAGAUCCUUUUAUAAAUCUGGCUUACCCCAGUGUGUCUUUCCAGCUUUGUCAUCUCUUAACCUGAUCUUCACUGCAACCAAAUAAUAAUCAGCCCCUAGCCCCUGUAAACACUGCAGUUUCCUUUUCUUUCUUGUGUCACUUGGUUCAUACUCUUUCUGUGGCCUAAUGCUUCUCCCACAUUGCUGCAUAUCCAGUGCCUUCUUGUAGGAGGUCUCAGAUCAGAUUACAGCUCUUUCAUGCAGAACUUCUGUACUCCUUUAGUUCAGUAUGGAAGUCAUUUCUUCUUUUUGUGGGCUUUAAUAGUAACCUAUUUAUUUUCUUAAGAAAUAGCACUUACAUUUUCUUUUUGUAAAUGUUUAUAUGUCUUAUCUUCCUAGACUAUAAACUCUAAGGACAAGAUUUGUGUCUGAUUUUCUCUGAAUCCCUUUAGUAUUUUACAUAGUAUAAACAUGUAAUAAGUGAAUAAACUUUUAAAGUGCUUUAGAGUUCAUUGUGUUUGUUUUAUGUUUGUCCUAUAAUUUAUUCGUAAAUAAUCAUAUUUGUCAAUAAGUGAUCACUUAAUUAAAAGUUAAAAGUUUGACCUUUUAACUUUAUCAUUAAAAAUUUUUAAAGUGUGUAUAUUAUGCUUAUAUUUGCAGCCCCAUGCAAUCAUUCGUCAUACCAUUAGAUCUACAAACAGGAAUGCCAGAGCUGAACGGACAGCUUCAGAAAUAAAUUGUAUGUGUUUGGUAUACAUUUUCCAUUGGUGGUUUUGGAGGGUUGAGCUGGGUAUUCUUGUAUUUUUCAUGCAUUAAUAAAAUCUCAAUUUUAU
rnacentral:lncRNA from 1 species